rnacentral:rRNA from 1 species
CCUACGGGAGGCAGCAGUGGGGGAUAUUGCACAAUGGGGGGAACCCUGAUGCAGCGACGCCGCGUGGGUGAAGAAGCGCCUCGGCGCGUAAAGCCCUGUCAGCAGGGAAGAAAAUGACGGUACCUGAAGCAGAAGCCCCGGCUAACUACGUGCCAGCAGCCGCGGUAAGACGUAGGGGUCAAGCGUCAUCCGGAUUUACUGGUUGUAAAGGGUGCGCAGACGGCGAUGCAAGCCAUGAGUGAAGGCCCGGGGCCCAACCCCGGGACUGCUCUUGGAACUGCGUGGCUGGAGUGCAGGAGGGGCAGGCGGAAGUCCUGGUGUAGCGGUGAAAUGCGUAGAUAUCAGGAGGAACACCGGUGGCGAAGGCGGCCUGCUGGACUGCAACUGACGUUGAGGCCCGAAAGCGUGGGGAGCAAACAGGAUUAGAUACCCCAGUAGGUC